rnacentral:rRNA from 1 species
UAUUGGUCAAUGGGCGGGAGCCUGAACCAGCCAAGUCGCGUGAGGGAUUAAGGCCCUACGGGUCGUAAACCUCUUUUGCCGGGGAGCAGGGCGGCGGACGUGUCCGCCGCUUGCGCGUACCCGGAGAAUAAGCACCGGCUACCUUCGUGCCAGCAGCCGCGGUAACACGGAGGAUGCGAGCGUUAUCCGGAUUUAUUGGGUUUAAAGGGUGCGUAGGCGGGCUUUUAAGUCAGCGGUAAAAAUUCGGGGCUCAACCCCGUCCGGCCGUUGAAACUGGGGGCCUUGAGUGGGCGAGAAGAAGGCGGAAUGCGUGGUGUAGCGGUGAAAUGCAUAGAUAUCACGCAGAACCCCGAUUGCGAAGGCAGCCUUCCGGCGCCCUACUGACGCUGAGGCACGAAAGUGCGGGGAUCGAACAGG